GCAACUCGACUCCAUGAAGCUGGAUUCGCUAGUAAUCGCGCAUCAGCCAUGGCGCGGUGAAUACGUUCCCGGGCCUUGUACACACCGCCCGUCAAGCCAUGGAAGCCGGGAGUGCCUGAAGUGUGCAACCGCAAGGAGCGCCCUAAGGUAAAACUGGUGACUGGGGCUAAGUCGUAACAAGGUAGC
rnacentral:rRNA from 1 species